ACGCAUGGAGCACAGGCUGUAAACCAACGCUGCAAUCACAAUCACAGAAUCAGUCAAUAUUUUCUUGUUUUUUUCGACGCAGAUUUCUUUAAUUGAUUAAAGUAAUGUGUGAAGUUAAGAGUGUUCAGAUUGAAAAAUCCAAAUUAAGUAGGAAUAAACUUUUUAUCUGGACAAUCGACAUCCAAACAACAAUAAUCAGAUAUAACCUUUCGAAUGAAAGCAUGUUUGUUUUAGUCUGGUACCUGAGCUUCCUUAUUUGGUGCCGGCUACUUGUCAGCAUAUAGGAGGAGUCUCGAACAUUAGUGUAAAACUUGAAGCAGUUGAAACAAUAAAAAUGCUUUUGCGCAAACUGAGGCCAUCUUCAAUAGUGAAUGUUCUAUUCACGGAACAGUGCUAUUUCUCCAAAAGCUCUAAGAUGCGAGAGAACUCAUUACUUUGUUUAUUGUAUGCCCUGAUGAUAUUUCCCAGCACUGAAUUCAAUAUUCCUGAGUUGACAAAUGUUCUGAUUCAAUGUGGAAGCCAUGAACCAAAAGGAAAGUCAGGCAAGCUUUGUUGGACACUUUCGCUGUUCUUGGCCAGUUCUCUCCUCCGUUCUAUGUUAGUCCAAUUUUGGACACUGAUGAUAGUGAUCUAAGAUUCUUCAAGAAAGCAAUCCAAGCUCGUCUUGCAAGGAGGCAGCUACCAACGGUGUCACAGGAAGGACUCAUUCUAUACGCAUUACAAAUAACACCCACUUCCAAAGGUUAGUGUUUAUCCACAUAGCAGACAAAUUAAAACUUUAAUACCCCCAUAUGGAUCCUUCAUCAUUAAACAGUGCCUAUAAAUCUCAAGAGAAGAAAAAAACACUAAGAAGUGGCCCGAACUGUAUGUAACAAGGUGGAGAAAUAGUGC
rnacentral:lncRNA from 1 species